rfam:Triticum aestivum genome assembly, contig: Triticum_aestivum_CS42_TGACv1_scaffold_577013_7BL
UACGUACUCUCUCCGUCCAGAAAUACUUGUCAUCGAAAUGGAUAAAAAAAUGUACCUAAAUGUAUUUUAAUUUUAGAUACAUCCUUUUUUAUCCAUUUUGAUGACAAGUAUUUUCUGACGGAGAGAGUAAUAC